UCUCUUUACAGCGUUUAUAUUGUGUUGUUAUAGAUUGCAGUUACUGUAAUUGUUAAUCGGUCGUACUAGUGACAAAUUAACAGCAAUUGGUCUGUAAUCAUAUUUUCAUUAUGGCAGCAAUAUAAGAGGAGAUUAUAACUGAGAUUGACUUGAGUUUUGAUUUGGGAUGUGAAUAUAUUGAAGCAAAGGAGCAUAUUAGAUGAAGCCUGUGAAGAUGAGGAGCUGGGAGGGAUAGCAAGAGAAGCUAAGAAAAGAUUAGAUGAGAGGUUGAGAUCACAGCCUAAGAGGUACUAGAAUGGCAA
rnacentral:lncRNA from 1 species